rnacentral:rRNA from 1 species
CGGACGGGUGAGUAAUGUAUGGGGAUCUGCCUGAUGGCGGGGGAUAACUACUGGAAACGGUAGCUAAUACCGCAUAAUGUCUACGGACCAAAGCGGGGGACCUCCGGGCCUCACGCCAUCAGAUGAACCCAUAUGGGAUUAGCUUGUAGGUAAGGUAACGGCUUACCUAGGCGACGAUCCCUAGCUGGUCUGAGAGGAUGAUCAGCCACACUGGGACUGAGACACGGCCCAG